GACGAACGCUGGCGGCGUGCUUAACACAUGCAAGUCGAACGGAAAGGCCCCUUUGGGGGUACUCGAGUGGCGAACGGGUGAGUAACACGUGAGUAACCUGCCCUUGACUUCGGGAUAACUUCAGGAAACUGGGGCUAAUACCGGAUAGGAAUCCUUGCUGCCUGGUGGGGGUUGGAAAGCUUCGGCGGUUUUGGAGGGACUCGCGGCUUAUCAGCUUGUUGGUGGGGUAGUGGCUUACCAAGGCUUUGACGGGUAGCCGGCCUGAGAGGGCGACCGGCCACAUUGGGACUGACGUGCGGCCCAGGCUCCUAAGGGAGGCAGCAGUGGGGAAUAUUGCACAAUGGGCGGAAGCCUGAUGCAGCAGCGCCGCGGGCGGGAUGACGGCCUUCGGGUUGUAAACCGCUUUCAGCAGGAGCGAAGCUUGUGGUGACGGUACCUGCAGAAGAAGCACCGGCUAACUACGUG
rnacentral:rRNA from 1 species